rnacentral:tRNA from 1 species
UGUCCAUUGGUGUAAUGGUAGCACAUCUGACUCUGGAUCAGCCAGUCUAGGUUCGAGUCCUGGAUGGACAA